GAACACUGCCCACGCAUGAUGUUUCAGCAUUUGACUGAGUCCGGGGAAUGCAUUCACAAGUAUGACUCGCUUUCAGUACCACAAAGUCUGAGGAAAAGUAACAGGAGAAUCAAUGUGUCAUCCGUUAUGGUGAAGCAUUGCUACUAUUUUCAGCUGUGUGACACCUCCUGCAUGGAAGCAGUGAGAAGGAAAUGGAUCUCCCUCGCCUGAUCAUUCAAGCUUGAUGUGCACACAUGCAUGUAUGAGUCUGAAACCUAGAAGGUGGUUAGUCCCCUUGCCUUCUCCCUCACCAUCUUUGUCUUCAUCUAUGUGACUGAUUUUUAAGUCCUGUUGAGAAAUGCUUUCUGCAGUGUUUAACAGCAGAGGAAAUGGAGACAAUGCAGCUCACCUGUGCCUCCCAAAAUGAAGAUGGAAGGAGAGAGCUCUGCAGCUGACACCACUUAAUGCAGCCUUUGAGCUUCUCGAUUGCCCUGUGCUGUCAGUAAGAUGGACCUGAGGAUUGAAAAAAGAAUAAUAGUCUUCUGGCCCUGCCCCUUGCUCCACCUCUCCGUUCAGGGGAAGGAAAAGGACUGUACGCCAUGGGAUGUGUUUGGAGGAGGAGCAAGAAGAUCAAUUGUAUGCAAAGAGAUUGGUGAUGGGAACACUGUCAGAUAUAAUGGCUAAAGGACAGAUGAAAGAGUUUGUGAAUGCACUGUAAAUGAAAUGAUCCAAAUAUGAGUUCCCAAGAAUGAAUUUUAAAAUGUGACUACAUUUUGGCAAGGACAGAGAGGUAGAAUCCACAUAAGAGAAAAAUAUAUUUGGGUCAUUGCCUGCUCUUAAGUAAGACACUUCACCAUCUACUAC